CACUUUUUGAGAUGUGUGUGUGAAGGUGGGCUAUAGUGUCUCAGCUCAUCCAACUGUGAGAUGCUCCUUUCCCCAUACGGCUAUCAUCUCACUAAUGGUGUUUGUAUCUGUUCUCCAUAGGAGGCAAAUGAAGCUUUUAAGCCAGAUGGAUGGAGAGAAGGGUGAGGAAGCCUUCCCACUGAAAAGAUUAAUUGACUUUCUGCACGAUGUCACUUAUCCUCUGACUGGUCUGAAUGAAUGACUGUACUCCCAACUUUCUUCAUUUCUCUCCGCUGAGCCAAGCUGGAGGACUGAACAGGUUCUAGGACCGGAGCUGGAGUACAACGCCUCAAGGCUGAAUAGGUGGCGGACAGCGCGCCCUGUUGGAUGGAAAGAUGACACAUAAUAAACAUCAAUAAAUGGGUUGCCGGGUGUUGAAGUCUAUCCAGCCGAGACCUGGAGCCUAGACUAAAUCACACGGUAAAUGUAAAGUAUCAUAACAUAAGGUCUAAAUGAUUUUAAUGGACACAAUACCUAGACGGUUAGCAGGGUUCCUCUUGAAGAGUGCUCUUAAUAAACUCUGCACCUCAGGACUAAGGAACUGUGGCAUCCCCAACUUGGCCCUUCAAAAACAUAAAAAGAAACAUUCAACUUUCCAUAAAUGAAGUCAUGUUGCUGUUCUUCUUCAGGCCACAAACUAAUUAAAUGAAAACGAGAGCACCGCUCUGUUUUUCUUUUGUGUGCUUCAUUUUGUCUCUUCUAUUACGAGACAUGUUUUAUUAACAGUCAAUUCCAAUUGACAGUCAGUUAAUCAACUAAUUUAUUCUCAUCCCUAAUGAAAACAAUACUAAGUGUACCACUACUUGAGAAAAACUCUCAAUGACUAAAAGGAUUUAAUCUUACUUUAGAAUAAGGGCCAUUGUUUCUUUACGAUCUUUUCCUUGGAAUGGCAACGAUCCUGUCAGCAUCUCAAACUGCAAGACACACAAAUACAUUUCAGAACAAAUUGCACUUGGUGCUAAUGUACAACAAGAGGGCUAAAAGAAAAAAAAACAAAUGUUACCAUUAAGACCCCAAAUGACCACCAGUCAGCGCUUUGUGUAUGCCCCCUCCUGUUCACCACCUCUGGAGCCAUAUACUCUAUGGUUCCACAGAAGGAAUAGGCUCUUUUGUCAUGGUCGAUUGCUUCCUUACUCAAACCAAAGUCUGGCGGCAGAGAAAUGGUCCACGUUUAGAAGGAGGGGCAAGAAAAAACAACAACGUCAAGGUAGGCACACUUGGAUGUACUUACCGGUUAUCUUUAUAUGUCCUUCUUCAUCCAGAAGAAUGCUGUCGAGAAAGAUGAAAAUUGAUACAUAAAUAAAAAAAAAAGAAAUGACCGAGCAAUCACAUAAACAUAACCUCCAUUGGCUGUGACAGCAAAAGAAAUGUGCUUAUACUUUUCAGGUUUGAGGUCCCUGUAGAUGAUUCCCAAGCUGUGCAAGUGGUCCAAUGCCAAAGCCAAUUCUGCAAGGUGCAUGAAUCAUCCAAGCAUCAUAUUACUUACUGACACUGACCGACAACCUAGCAGCCGCCUGCCCGCUGGUUUGCUCAUCUGACUGAGUGCAUUCCCGAGACGCCUGCCUCUCUCUCGGGCAAAGCAGCGUCCAGCUGAGGUGUCCUGGACCCCCCGGACAGGCAACGACAUUGGUGACACAGCAGCAGCAGUGACCUCACGCCACAUUCCAUCCCACAACAAACCAAAGGACACACAGCACUACCAUCUGCAUAACAGUUUUUGAAAAUCCAGCCAUACAAUGAACAUUGUAAACACCUUGAGCUCAUGUCAUUAAGAUGAUCUACAACAUACCUACACAUUUUGACGGUAAUAUUAUGGGUAUUAUACACACACACACACACACACACACACACACACACACACACACACACACACACACACACAC